CAAGUCGAACGAGAAAGCCGGGGCAACCUGGUGAGUACAGUGGCGUACGGGUGAGUAACACGUGGGUAAUCUACCUCCUUGUGGGGAAUAACGCUGGGAAACCGGCGCUAAUACCGCAUAAGCUCGAGAGAGGAAAGCAGCAAUGCGCAGGGAGAGGAGCCCGCGGCCGAUUAGCUAGUUGGCAGGGUAAAAGCCUACCAAGGCAGAGAUCGGUAGCCGGCCUGAGAGGGCACAUGGCCACACUGGCACUGAAACACGGGCCAGACUCCUACGGGAGGCAGCAGUGGGGAAUCUUGCACAAUGGGGGAAACCCUGAUGCUGCGACGCCGCGUGAGCGAUGAAGCCCUUCGGGGUGUAAAGCUCUUUCGGCAGGGAAGAUGAUGACGGUACCUGCAGAAGCAGCUGCGGCUAACUACGUGCCAGCAGCCGCGGUAAUACGUAGGCAGCAAGCGUUGUUCGGAGUUACUGGGCGUAAAGGGUGUGUAGGCGGUUGCUUAAGUUUGGUGUGAAAUCUCCCGGCUCAACUGGGAGGGUGCGCCGAAUACUGAGUGACUAGAGUGCGGGAGAGGAAAGUGGAAUUCCUGGUGUAGCGGUGAAAUGCGUAGAUAUCAGGAGGAACAUCGGUGGUGUAGACGGCUUUCUGGACCGUAACUGACGCUGAGACACGAAAGCGUGGGUAGCAAACAGGAUUAGAUACCCUGGUAGUCCACGCCCUAAACGAUGCAUAUUUGGUGUGGGUCAUUCAGUUGAUCCGUGCCGGAGCUAACGCGUUAAAUAUGCCGCCUGGGGAGUACAGUCGCAAGGCUGAAACUCAAAGGAAUUGACGGGGGCCCGCACAAGCGGUGGA
rnacentral:rRNA from 1 species